UACAGAGGAGCCAAGCGUUGUCCGGAUUGACUGGGCGUAAAGCGCACGCAGGCGGAUGCGCGCGUGGGGUGUGAAAUCUGGCCGCUUAACGGCCAGGCGCCAUCCCAUACGGCACAUCUGGAGGGCUGCAGAGGUCGAUGGAAUUGCCGGUGUAGUGGUGAAAUGCGUAGAUAUCGGGAGGAACACCAGUGGCGAAGGCGACUUCCUGGCCUGUUCUUGACGCUGAGGCGCGAAAGCUAGGGUAGCAAACGGG
rnacentral:rRNA from 1 species